AUUGAACGCUGGCGGCAUGCCUUACACAUGCAAGUCGAACGGCAGUACGGGAGCAAUCCUGGUGGCGAGUGGCGAACGGGUGAGUAAUAUAUCGGAACGUGCCCAGUCGUGGGGGAUAACGUAGCGAAAGCUACGCUAAUACCGCAUACGAUCUAUGGAUGAAAGCGGGGGAUCGCAAGACCUCGCGCGAUUGAGCGGCCGAUAUCAGAUUAGGUAGUUGGUGAGGUAAAGGCUCACCAAGCCGACGAUCUGUAGCUGGUCUGAGAGGACGACCAGCCACACUGGGACGGAGACACGGCCCAGACUCCUACGGGAGGCAGCAGUGGGGAAUUUUGGACAAUGGGCGCAAGCCUGAUCCAGCAAUGCCGCGUGCAGGAUGAAGGCCUUCGGGUUGUAAACUGCUUUUGUACGGAACGAAACGGCGAGCUCUAAUACAGCUUGCUAAUGACGGUACCGUAAGAAUAAGCACCGGCUAACUACGUGCCAGCAGCCGCCGUAA
rnacentral:rRNA from 1 species